AGCCAAUCAAAAUCAUGGAAAGAUGUCAGAUCUGACAACUUGUCGGAUGAAAAUAUUGGUGAAACGCUCCCCAGGUUUCAGACAAAUUUGACUUGUGUCGAUAUCCUAAUAGGCACUCAUUUAACCAUACGUUGGGUAACCAAAUGAGCAAAUUUGUCUCAAAUUCUGUAUGGGUAGAGGCUUAUCAACAUACUUCCAUAAUGUGAAAUGUUGAAAAGGAAAUUUAAUGACAUCACAUUUGGUUCAAUAUUGGUAAGUGGUACAAUACCUACAAGCAGAAUUGGAGGGUGGUCGAAAACAAUAAUUUCUUCAUAUCCAAGAUACCAACAGUAUAAACCUUCUUUAUUGAAUAUUAUAGAUGAUUUUUAACUUGGUCUUUGCAUUGUUAAUUUGUUCUAAACGGUGAGAGGUUUCACACUUAAUUAUAUUGUUUUAAGCACCAUCACCUAUAGUUGCAGCACAUCUUGGUUUACUGGAAAGUGAGGUAGCCGAACUGCAAAGUCCAAAUUUCAGAACGAUGGACUAAUAAUACGGUUUCAUUUCAAAAGUUUCUUUGAAUUCUAAAAUAUUUCUGCUUUUUCACACCACAAUCAAAUGAGUUAUUACUAUUCCACCUGAAGUUUCUGCUUCCCGAUUCCACAACAGAACUCUGAGAUAAUUGUGAUUGAUGACUUAUUCAUCGCACCUGGUGCACUAAAUUAUUUUGUUCUUACUGUGCAAUUGCUACUUUGAAAAUGGUGCAAGAACAUGGAUAAGAAAUGGCCUUCAUCACAAAACUAAUAAUAAGCCCGAUUAAUACAUCUCCUACCAUAUUGUAACUAAAUGCUAUGCCCAUUACUUGAUCUUAAUCCUCUUAAUCUUCUAAAGGUGCUUAAUACCUCAUAUGGCAGAUGCAAGGUGGCCGCAGGGGGACUAUACAGUGAGUGGGUUGUCACACUCAUUAUGAUCAUCAUAUUUUAUUCAUCAUGCUCAUCACAAUACUUUACAAUAGACAUUUCAUUACAGAAAGUUUCCAAAUGUGUCGCACCAUGCCUCCCAAGCAGAGAACACCAAAGGAGGAGGGGUAAGGAGACGAAGAGCAACACCAGGGCAGCUGCACUGUAAUAUUCACUAUUGCUGUGCUGGUGUUCAACUGAUUGACACAAAUUCAUAACAAGAUAUUAGGCAUGACUAUGAACAAUGGAGAGAGGUCAAAAGCUAGGGUAAUGAACGCAACCACAUUAGAAGUUUGUUUUGUUACCUGGAAUACUGCUGUACACAAAAGUACAUGCUACAUGCAUGUAGCAUUCAUCAAUAUUACAUGUAUGUAACAAAUCCUCGAUUGAAGAAAGUUAUGUGUAUACAACCACGUACAUUUAGCUUGUAGUUUUUUAUAUGGUAUUUAAUGGGAAGUUUCACCUUUCCUUAAAAAAGGCUGAUAAUAUUAACCUUUGACUCAUCUCAUAUCUGAAAUAUGUAAUGGCAAAUACAUCAAGAUAGCUUGCAAAGUUCACCAAGUCACAGAGCUAGAGUAUCUUCAGUAAUUCAAUUUCAAAAAGAUCUUCCCAAACCCCCAGUCACAAUGCACUCAAGUGCACAGAUCUGUUGGCUUCUACCCAAAAUAAACAAAAGCUAAAACAAAUGAUAAUUUUGUUUUAAUUCACUUAAGCAAUAAGCACCCAUUCUUCUUGAUGAUACAACCAAGCUAUUCCAGUCUUUAGGAAAAAUACCUGAAACAACGCUCUACAAAGAUCACACAAAAAUCAAACCAACCAAUAUAAAACAAAGAGUUCUCCAUCUACGUCCACAAGAUAAGUUCUAAUAAACAUGCAAAUUAUCAACCAUAUUCUAUCUCCUGAUUGCCAUCUUUUGUAAUAAAAUCAUGUCAAUUCAAUUGUACAACAUUCUAAAUUCAUAUUUUCUACAAAAAGAGAUUUUACACUGUAGAUGAAGAAAAAGAAAUGUCAACGUCAAUCCUUAAUUAUCUCUGACCUUUUUCAAUAACUCCUCUGUACACGAUACAACUACCAGUAUUUUCUCAACCUCAAAAAUAUAUAUAUUGUGCCCUUGUACCAACCAUUCAUUCUCAACAAAACUUAUAAAUGCUUGUUGAUAAACAUAAUCAAAUCAAACAAAAACACUCAAUGACUAUCAUAUUUCAUUCCAUGACAAACACUUAAGCUGUAAUACAUGUCAUACACACUGCAACCCAAUGGUUUCAUUUUCUGCUUUGGUAAAUAAGUGCACACUCCUCUCCGUUUUCUAAGCCAGUUUCACCAACAAUGCAUUGCAUAAUCAAACUGCUAGGGGUUACAUCUACAUAAUAUAAAGUACAUCCCAGACUGAAAUAUAAAUCUCUCUCCAACAUUGUUUAACAUAACAAAUUGAAUAUUUAUAUUAUUGCAUGUUGUUAUCCUGUUACUAAAAGCAGCCAUCUUAUAAAGCACCCCUGUUCAUUUUUUUUUCAUUUCUGGGAUUUUCAUAUACUUUUUUUUUUAAAUAUUGAAUCCUACAGUUUCAGAAUCAAAAUAUUGUAUGAUUUGAUAUUUCCAAUCAAUACUUUCAACUAUUCACUACUUUUGCAAGACGUACAUUUGUACAAUUGU